rnacentral:rRNA from 1 species
AUUGAACGCUGGCGGCAGGCUUAACACAUGCAAGUCGAACGGUAACAUAAAGGAGCUUGCUUCUUUGAUGACGAGUGGCGGACGGGUGAGUAAUGCUUGGGAAUCUAGCUUAUGGAGGGGGAUAACUACGGGAAACUGUAGCUAAUACCGCGUAGAAUCGGGAGAUGAAAGUGUGGGACCUUCGGGCCACAUGCCAUAGGAUGAGCCCAAGUGGGAUUAGGUAGUUGGUGAGGUAAAGGCUCACCAAGCCGACGAUCUCUAGCUGGUCUGAGAGGAUGACCAGCCACACUGGGACUGAGACACGGCCCAGACUCCUACGGGAGGCAGCAGUGGGGAAUAUUGCGCAAUGGGGGCAACCCUGACGCAGCCAUGCCGCGUGAAUGAAGAAGGCCUUCGGGUUGUAAAGUUCUUUCGGUAGCGAGGAAGGCAUUUAGUUUAAUAGACUAGGUGAUUGACGUUAACUACAGAAGAAGCACCGGCUAACUCCGU